UUUGGGUCGUCUCCUUGAUAAUGAAGUCCUGACUUUGCAGUGGGUUCGAGUUACUAAUUUUGGCUGUUUGCUUUGUAAAACUACGAAACCAUUGAAAAAUGCAAGUCAUUGUGUUUUGGAAGAUACUAGUGAAUAUCGGUGAAGAAGAGACUAGUGAGUUGCUGAUAAAACUUGAGUGCUGCUUGUUAACUUGAGUAUUCGAAAGUUUUUUUUUUUUUUUUUUUUUUGUUCUGAAGUAUACGGUUUCAUAUAGUCUUCCUCUUUUGUAACAAACUAUAGUAUUUUUAAAAAGACUUUAGUAGCUUAAGUUGUGUAACAUUUAAUUAUUAUGGAGUAGAAUGAUAAUGGUGUUUGGGAGUAUAUUAUUCAAUCAUGCAAUAAA
rnacentral:lncRNA from 1 species